rnacentral:rRNA from 1 species
UUAGCAUGGAAUAAUUGAAUAGGACGUGUGGUUCUAUUUUGUUGGUUUCUAGGACCGCCGUAAUGAUUAAUAGGGACAGUCGGGGGCAUCAGUAUUCAAUUGUCAGAGGUGAAAUUCUUGGAUCUAUUGAAGACUAACUACUGCGAAAGCAUUUGCCAAGGAUGUUUUCAUUGAUAAGGAACGAAAGUUAGGGGAUCGAAGACGAUCAGAUACCGUCGUAGUCUUAACUAUAAACUAUGCCGACUAGGGAUCGGACGAUGUUAUCUUUUGACGCGUUCGGCACCUUUCGAGAAAUCAAAGUGCUUGGGCUCCAGGGGGAGUAUGGUCGCAAGGCUGAAACUUAAAGAAAUUGACGGAAGGGCACCACCAGGGGUGGAACCUGCGGCUUAAUUUGACUCAACACGGGGAAACUCACCAGGUCCAGACACAGUGAGGAUUGACAGAUUGAGAGCUCUUUCUUGAUUCUGUGGGUGGUGGUGCAUGGCCGUUCUUAGUUGGUGGAGUGAUUUGUCUGCUUAAUUGCGAUAACGAACGAGACCUUAACCUGCUAAAUAGCCCGUACUGCUUUGGCAGUUCGCCGGCUUCUUAGAGGGACUAUCGGCUCAAGCCGAUGGAAGUUUGAGGCAAUAACAGGUCUGUGAUGCCCUUAGAUGUCCUGGGCCGCACGCGCGUUACACUGACAGAGCCAGCGAGUAUUUCCUUGACCGGAAGGUCCGGGUAAUCUUGUUAAACUCUGUCGUGCUGGGGAUAGAGCAUUGCAAU